CGGCGAAGGGUGAGUAACACGUAACCAACGUACCCCUCAGAUCGGGAUAACCACUGGAAACGGUGGAUAAUACUGAAUGGUCCUAGGAAGGACAUCCUUCCGAAGGUAAACGGCGGCUUCGGCUGCUGUUGAGGGAGCGGGUUGCGUCCUAUCAGCUUGUUGGUGAGGUAACGGCUCACCAAGGCUAUGACGGGUAGCGGGUCUGAGAGGAUGAUCCGCCACACUGGGACUGAGACACUGCCCAGACUCCUACGGGAGGCUGCAGUCGAGAAUCUUCCACAAUGGGCGAAAGCCUGAUGGAGCGACGCUGCGUGUAGGAUGAAGGCCUUAGGGUUGUAAACUACUGUCACGCUAUAGGAACCCGUGUAGGUUAAUAGCCUGCGCGCUGACCAAAGCGAGAGGAAGUGCCGGCUAACUCCGUGCCAGCAGCCGCGGUAAGACGGAGGGCGCAAGCGUUGUUCGGAAUCACUGGGCAUAAAGGGCGCGUAGGCGGCCAGCUCAGUCGGAUGUGAAAUCCCCCGGCCCAACCGGGGAACUGCAUUCGAUACUGACUGGCUAGAGGAUGGUAGGAGCCAAUGGAACUCCAGGUGGAACGGUGAAAUGUGUAGAUAUCUGGAGGAACACCGGUGGCGAAAGCGAUUGGCUGGGCCAUUUCUGACGCUGAGGCGCGAAAGCUAGGGGAGCGAACGGGAUUAGAUACCCCGGUAGUCCUAGCCGUAAA
rnacentral:rRNA from 1 species